rnacentral:rRNA from 1 species
AUUGAACGCUGGCGGCAUGCUUUACACAUGCAAGUCGAACGGUAACAGGUUAAGCUGACGAGUGGCGAACGGGUGAGUAAUGCAUCGGAACGUGCCCGAUCGUGGGGGAUAACGCAGCGAAAGCUGCGCUAAUACCGCAUACGAUCUGAGGAUGAAAGCGGGGGACCGUAAGGCCUCGCGCGAUCGGAGCGGCCGAUGUCAGAUUAGGUAGUUGGUGGGGUAAAGGCUCACCAAGCCAACGAUCUGUAGCUGGUCUGAGAGGACGACCAGCCACACUGGGACUGCGACACGGCCCAGACUCCUACGGGAGGCAUCAGUGGGGAAUUUUGGACAAUGGGAGAAAGCCUGAUCCAGCAAUGCGGCGUGCAGGAAGAAGGCCUUCGGGUUGUAAACUGCUUUUGUACGGAGCGAAAAGGCCCUCUCUAAUACAGGGGGUUUAUGACGGUACCGUAAGAAUAAGCACCGGCUAACUACGUGCCAGCCGCCGCCGUAACAC